rnacentral:rRNA from 1 species
AUUGAACGCUGGCGGCAGGCCUAACACAUGCAAGUAGAACGAGUGGCGGACGGGUGAGUAAUGUCUGGGAAACUGCCUGAUGGAGGGGGAUAACUACUGGAAACGGUAGCUAAUACCGCAUACCAUCAGAUGUGCCCAGAUGGGAUUAGCGUGUUGGUGGGGUAACGGCUCACCAAGGCGACGAUCCCUAGAUGGUCUGAGGGGAGAACCAGCCACUCUGGACCGGUGACACGGUCCAGACUCCUAAGGUAGGCAGCAGUGGGGAAGAUUGCACAAGGGGCGCAGGCCUGAUGCAGCCAUGCCGCGUGUAUGAAGAAGGCCUUCGGGUUGUAAAGUACUUUCAGCGGGGAGGCGUUACCCGCAGAAGAAGCACCGGCUAACUCCGUGCCAGCAGCCGCGGUAAUUC